rnacentral:lncRNA from 1 species
AGAACUGUUUAUUGUAAUGCGAAUGAAACAAUUCUGGACUUUUAAUCGUCUUCUUACAAUUUUGAACGGUGUAGCUGCCCAGAAAUAAGGUGGAUACCGUGAAGUUGAGUAAAUACAUAAUCAAAGAAUGCAUGACAUUUUUCAUCAGAACGGGCAUCUGACUUAAUGUCAAACAUGUAGCAGUCCUCGAUUUCAUCUGUUGGAAGGAAUGGUAACCCGAAAAAUAGUACUAGCCAUUUAACAGCGUCAUCUACUUGAUUUGUCUGUACACUCUGUACUUAGCCAAAC